UAGACAACUGUCAAUAGACUGUGUAAUGGAGCACUGUAUUGUAUGUUAACCACCGACGGUAGGUACAGACAAAUACUGUUGAUAUACGGUGUAUAGGAGCACUAUACUGUAUGUUAACUACCGACAGUAGGUAUAGACAAAUACUGUUGAUAGACGGUAUAUAGGAGCACUAUAUUGUAUGUUAACCACCGACGGUAGGUAUAGACAAAUACUGUUGAUAUACGGUAAAUAGGAGUACUGUAUUGCAUGUUAACCACCGACGGUAGGUAUAGAUAAAUACUGUUGGUAGACGAUAUAUAGGAGCACUGUAUUGUUAUUGGUUGCUGUCUUUGAUAUUAAUUUUACGUUUAUCGUUUCAGCAUUAAUCGGGCUGUUAGUUUUCGUUUUUCGUCACAUCUAGUCAGGAAUGGGUUUUAAUAGCAUUUUACAUGAAUACAUAUGUGUAACUCAUGGCUGAUUCACAUUCGUUUGUCUUUGGUGGAUAAGUUUUCCAUUGGCAAUAUUACCACAUAUCUUCUGAAUUUUCAUUGCAUCAUCUAAACAUGUAAAAUUCGUAUAUAGAAAAUAUAUACGUAUAGAUAAUAUAUAUAUAAUAUAAAAAAGUAGAUGUUGUAUGAUUGCCAAUGAGACAACAGUAGUGUUUGUGGGACAGAAUGACCCCCAUUAAGGUGGACGUCGGACGCUGACGCCAUAUUCGAAAG
rnacentral:lncRNA from 1 species